CUCAGGACGAACGCCGGCGGCGUGCUUAACACAUGCAAGUCGAGCGGUAAGGCUCCUUCGGGAGUACACGAGCGGCGAACGGGUGAGUAACACGUGAGCAAUCUGCCCUUCACUUUGGGAUAACCACCGGAAACGGUGGCUAAUACCGAAUACGACCACUUCAGGCAUCUGAUGGUGGUGGAAAGUUCCGGCGGUGGAGGAUGAGCUCGCGGCCUAUCAGCUUGUUGGUGGGGUAAUGGCCUACCAAGGCAACGACUGGUAGCCGGCCUGAGAGGGUGACCGGCCACACUGGGACUGAGACACGGCCCAGACUCCUACGGGAGGCAGCAGUGGGGAAUAUUGGACAAUGGGCGAAAGCCUGAUCCAGCAACGCCGCGUGAGGGAUGACGGCCUUCGGGUUGUAAACCUCUUUCAGUAGGGACGAAGCGCAAGUGACGGUACCUACAGAAGAAGCACCGGCCAACUACGUGCCAGCAGCCGCGGUAAUACGUAGGGUGCGAGCGUUGUCCGGAAUUAUUGGGCGUAAAGGGCUCGUAGGCGGUUUGUCGCGUCGGGAGUGAAAACACGGGGCUUAACCCCGUGCCUGCUUCCGAUACGGGCAGACUAGAGGUAUGCAGGGGAGAACGGAAUUCCUGGUGUAGCGGUGAAAUGCGCAGAUAUCAGGAGGAACACCGGUGGCGAAGGCGGUUCUCUGGGCAUUACCUGACGCUGAGGAGCGAAAGUGUGGGGAGCGAACAGGAUUAGAUACCCUGGUAGUCCACACCGUAAACGUUGGGCGCUAGGUGUGGGACUCAUUCCACGAGUUCCGUGCCGCAGCUAACGCAUUAAGCGCCCCGCCUGGGGGAGUACGGCCGCAAGGCUAAAACU
rnacentral:rRNA from 1 species